AACGCACCUUGCGCUCCUUGGUAUUCCGAGGAGCAUGCCUGUUUGAGUGUCUUGAAGUCAUCAACCCCUCCUGUUUUGUACAGCUGUGGGUUGGAGCUGGGGGCUUGCUGCCGUGAGGCGGCUCCCCUCAAAUGUAUCGGUUGGGCCUGCGGGUCGGACUCGAUUGGGCGUUGUACCAUCCUCGCUCUAACGAGAUGUUCCCCUUCUGUGCCCCUCCACGACCUGCCUUCUGAGUGGCGGUCAACUAAACAUUGAAAUCUGACCUCAAAUCAGGUAGGACUACCCGCUGAACUUAA
rnacentral:misc_RNA from 2 species